UCUUUAUAACUACACACAUCCAACACAGUUGUAGGGUAAUUUUGUACACAUGUCACUCUCAUAUUCAAUUUCAGCAAAUCCUACAUGGAAAAAGACAAAAAACCUACUUCUUUUGGUUGAAAUUUCAAAUGAUAUUCCCUCCUUCAGCUUUUGACGAAAUGGGCCAACAAAUGCCAAGCCAAUGCUAUCCGGCCCAACUUGAUCCAGUCCAUUUCAGGCCAAACAAAAAAAAACUCCUUCCCCAAGAAGCCUGUUUGACGUAUCUCUUUUCAUUAUUUUUCAAAUCCAUGCAACUUCUUCUUCUGAGAAGCAGCUGUCCCUUUCAUUCUUAGCAAAGGAACAGUGUCAAGUCACUUUCAGUACCAACAAAUUUGUCUGACUGAUAUUGAAAAACAGAUUCUCAAAUUUCAAACUCUCUCUCCCUCUCUAAACACCAAAGCCACAACCUUCUUCACUUGAUGAACUCCAUUUUCCUUCCAAAGAAGAAUCUCAUGGAUGUUGCUGGGCCGAUUUUCAUUCUGACGGAGCAGAUUUCAUUCUGAAACCCGAUGCGUGUUCUCCCAAAAGUGUUAUAUAUUUAAGCCCGAGUUGUUGUCUGGAAUUCUGCAACAAAGAAGAUGAAGAGAAAUAUAAAGAAGCAACACUCACCAUGAAGGAAGCGGCAGACUCAUACUUAGAAAAUUCUGCAUCAAUUCCAAGUGAAACCUCAAAAUGAUGGCGGACACAAUUUUUUGUUCAAGAUUCAAGUUAAAUUGUGUGAAGGGUAUCCAACGAUUUUGAUCUCUUGCGGUAAAUUCAAAGAUUUGAGUAAUCCAAAGGUAUCAAUAUGAUAUCGUUUAAUCUUUACUUUACAUUUACCUUUACAUCUUAUAUGAUUAAAUUAGAAUAUUAAUUUCCCUUCGAUUGAUACUCUACAUGUUCAUUUCUAGACUUCAUUUUUAUCUUCAAUUAUUUGUGUUGUUUUGUGGAUACUGUUUUUGUGGUGCCUCCGUCAUAGUAUAACUGCAUCAAUUAUAUUGUGAUACUUUUAAUUACUUUUAUUUUGAUUAGAUAUAAAGAUUUAUCGUCAUUCUUUGAAUUCCUUACUUUAGUGAGAGAUGGUGAGAUACAUAGCUUGAUUGUAUUUGAAAAUUACUCAUUAUAUAGAUUUAAUUUUUUACUGUGAAAGUGAGCACUCAAAAUGUUUAAUGAAAUGUCUCAAUAUGAAAAACUGAUGACUUUGUGGUCUUAUUUUUGUGCUUUUAUAUGAAAUCAUAUCUGCAUAUUUCAUGAUAUGUAUUAAUCUGUAUGAUAUUCUUUUUUGGUUAUUUUCACUCUCUAAAUGUUAAAUAAUGACAUAAGAUUGUAUUUCAUUUUUUCACAUUAAUCCAUGUUCAUUGUGUUUAGGUCUUGGAUUUGUCCCUGUUUAUUGAAUUAUAAACGAUACCUCUAUUCUUGGUUUAGCAUGACAUGUCUAUUAGAGAUGCAAUGCAAGUUUCACUUCUUGAAAAUCCAGGUUUAACAUGAUACCUCUAUUCUUUGAAAAUGCAGGUUUCACUUCUUAAAAUUUGCCAGAGUUUGAAUUCUAAAUAUUGAAGAUGUUAGACCAAUUCAAGGAAAUAAUGGGGUAUGGUUUAGAAGAAAACAAUAGAGAAUCUGCUAGAAUGCUUGGAUUAUUCUGGUUUUUCAAUAGUCAAAAUGAAAUAAUGAUUGAAUUGUCUAAUAUCUGAUUUUCAUUUCAAUUUUAGUCUAUGGCUUGAAGGGAAUUUUAUGGAGAUUGAUUUAAUGUCCAGUUUAGCAUUGUAUGCAUGACUAUGUCCAGGUACUAUAAGAUGUUGCUUAAAGCUUCAUUAUUAUUUUUCUAUUACUUCCUAAUUAUUUCCCUAGACUAUGAUUUAAGUUAAAGAAAACUAUGAUUUAUUAUAUGUACAAAUUAGCAUUUUUAAGUUAAAGACUACAUGUGGUACAUGUAAGGGAACUAGAAAAAUUUCAUUGGUAGUAUAGUGUAAACCUUCACAUCGAAGUUAUAAGCUUAAGAAAUAAGAGUUUCUUCAUAUAUGUUUUCAACAUUCUCAUUCAUAUGAGAUUUGAUGUCCCUAUCUCCUUCUAGGCCUUGGAUUUUAUGAGUUUUGAUUAUGGUUUUGAAAAAUUAGGCCUUUGCAAAUCUCUUGGUAAAUUAAUUCUUCAUUGUAUGUGCUGGAAAUUGAUUUGUUGUAUUAUCUGGUCUACACACUGUAUGGCUGAAAAAGUGUAUUAUGUUCUGAACUUAUUUUCAGUUUCUAUUGGUUAAGAAUAUUACAUAAUGCAAGUAUAGCUAAAGUGUGGAAUAUUUAUCUGUUUAUAAGAUCUGAAGGGAAGCUGUUAGCAAGCUUAGUUAACGAGGAUUGACACUGGAAAGAUAAUGUAGAAGAUUAAUUUGGUUUUACAUCUAAGGGAGAUUUGUGGGCCGAAAUACAGACAUAGCUGCAAAAUUGGUUCUAAACUUCUAAAGGAUUUAUGCAUGAUAAUACAAUGUUUAAAAAGGAUUUUAUAUAUAGUUUCAUUCGAUCUUAAUGGUCUUAACUUUAUUUAGUUCAUGAGUUUAUCUCUUAAUAGAAUUUUAAAAGAUGUCUUGAAUGAAAAUAAAAAUGACAUUAUUAAAAUAUAACAUUAAGUUUUGCUCUGUUAUGAUA